rnacentral:rRNA from 1 species
CCUACGGGGGGCUGCAGUGGGGAAUAUUGGACAAUGGGGGCAACCCUGAUCCAGCCAUGCCGCGUGUGUGAAGAAGGCCCUCGGGUUGUAAAGCACUUUCAGUGAGGAAGAACGCCUGGUGGUUAAUACCCAUCAGGAAAGACAUCACUCACAGAAGAAGCACCGGCUAACUCCGUGCCAGCAGCCGCGGUAAUACGGAGGGUGCGAGCGUUAAUCGGAAUUACUGGGCGUAAAGCGCGCGUAGGUGGCUUGAUAAGCCGGUUGUGAAAGCCCCGGGCUCAACCUGGGAACGGCAUCCGGAACUGUCAAGCUAGAGUGCAGGAGAGGAAGGUAGAAUUCCCGGUGUAGCGGUGAAAUGCGUAGAGAUCGGGAGGAAUACCAGUGGCGAAGGCGGCCUUCUGGACUGACACUGACACUGAGGUGCGAAAGCGUGGGUAGCAAACAGGAUUAGAUACCCGAGUAUC